GCUCAGAUUGAACGCUGGCGGCAGGCCUAACACAUGCAAGUCGAGCGGUAGCACAGAGAGCUUGCUCUCGGGUGACGAGCGGCGGACGGGUGAGUAAUGUCUGGGAAACUGCCUGAUGGAGGGGGAUAACUACUGGAAACGGUAGCUAAUACCGCAUAAUGUCGCAAGACCAAAGUGGGGGACCUUCGAGCCUCAUGCCAUCAGAUGUGCCCAGAUGGGAUUAGCUAGUAGGUGGGGUAACGGCUCACCUAGGCGACGAUCCCUAGCUGGUCUGAGAGGAUGACCAGCCACACUGGAACUGAGACACGGUCCAGACUCCUACGGGAGGCAGCAGUGGGGAAUAUUGCACAAUGGGCGCAAGCCUGAUGCAGCCAUGCCGCGUGUGUGAAGAAGGCCUUCGGGUUGUAGAGCACUUUCAGCGGGGAGGAAGGCGGUGAGGUUAAUAACCUCAUCGAUUGACGUUACCCGCAGAAGAAGCACCGGCUAACUCCGUGCCAGCAGCCGCGGUAAUACGGAGGGUGCAAGCGUUAAUCGGAAUUACUGGGCGUAAAGCGCACGCAGGCGGUCUGUCAAGUCGGAUGUGAAAUCCCCGGGCUCAACCUGGGAACUGCAUUCGAAACUGGCAGGCUAGAGUCUUGUAGAGGGGGGUAGAAUUCCAGGUGUAGCGGUGAAAUGCGUAGAGAUCUGGAGGAAUACCGGUGGCGAAGGCGGCCCCCUGGACAAAGACUGACGCUCAGGUGCGAAAGCGUGGGGAGCAAACAGGAUUAGAUACCCUGGUAGUCCACGCCGUAAACGAUGUCGAUUUGGAGGUUGUGCCCUUGAGGCGUGGCUUCCGGAGCUAACGCGUUAAAUCGACCGCCUGGGGAGUACGGCCGCAAGGUUAAAACUCAAAUGAAUUGACGGGGGCCCGCACAAGCGGUGGAGCAUGUGGUUUAAUUCGAUGCAACGCGAAGAACCUUACCUGGUCUUGACAUCCACAGAACUUUCCAGAGAUGGAUUGGUGCCUUCGGGAACUGUGAGACAGGUGCUGCAUGGCUGUCGUCAGCUCGUGUUGUGAAAUGUUGGGUUAAGUCCCGCAACGAGCGCAACCCUUAUCCUUUGUUGCCAGCGGUUAGGCCGGGAACUCAAAGGAGACUGCCAGUGAUAAACUGGAGGAAGGUGGGGAUGACGUCAAGUCAUCAUGGCCCUUACGACCAGGGCUACACACGUGCUACAAUGGCAUAUACAAAGAGAAGCGACCUCGCGAGAGCAAGCGGACCUCAUAAAGUAUGUCGUAGUCCGGAUUGGAGUCUGCAACUCGACUCCAUGAAGUCGGAAUCGCUAGUAAUCGUAGAUCAGAAUGCUACGGUGAAUACGUUCCCGGGCCUUGUACACACCGCCCGUCACACCAUGGGAGUGGGUUGCAAAAGAAGUAGGUAGCUUAACCUUCGGGAGGGCGCUUACCACUUUGUGAUUCAUGACUGGGGUGAAGUCGUAACAAGGU
rnacentral:rRNA from 1 species